rnacentral:rRNA from 1 species
CCUACGGGGGGCAGCAGUGGGGAAUAUUGCACAAUGGGCGCAAGCCUGAUGCAGCCAUGCCGCGUGUGUGAAGAAGGCCUUCGGGUUGUAAAGCACUUCCAGCGGGGAGGAAGGCGGUGAGGUUAAUAACCUCAUCGAUUGACGUUACCCGCAGAAGAAGCACCGGCUAACUCCGUGCCAGCAGCCGCGGUAAUACGGAGGGUGCAAGCGUUAAUCGGAAUUACUGGGCGUAAAGCGCACGCAGGCGGUCUGUCAAGUCGGAUGUGAAAUCCCCGGGCUCAACCUGGGAACUGCAUUCGAAACUGGCAGGCUAGAGUCUUGUAGAGGGGGGUAGAAUUCCAGGUGUAGCGGUGAAAUGCGUAGAGAUCUGGAGGAAUACCGGUGGCGAAGGCGGCCCCCUGGACAAAGACUGACGCUCAGGUGCGAAAGCGUGGGGAGCAAACAGGAUUAGAUACCCGAGUAGUC